rnacentral:rRNA from 1 species
GACGAACGCUGGCGGCGUGCCUAAUACAUGCCAGUCGAACGCAUUUUCUUUCACCGUAGCUUGCUACACCGAAAGAAAAUGAGUGGCGAACGGGUGAGUAACACGUGGGUAACCUGCCCAUCAGCGGGGGAUAACACUUGGAAACAGGUGCUAAUACCGCAUAAUUCCAUUUACCGCAUGGUAGAUGGAUGAAAGGCGCUUUUGCGUCACUGAUGGAUGGACCCGCGGUGCAUUAGCUAGUUGGUGGGGCAACGGCCUACCAAGGCUGCGAUGCAUAGCCGACCUGAGAGGUUGAUCGGCCACACUGGGACUGAGACACGGCCCAGACUCCUACGGGAGGCAGCAGUAGGGAAUCUUCGGCAAUGGACGCAAGUCUGACCGAGCAACGCCGCGUGAGUGAAGAAGGUUUUCGGAUCGUAAAACUCUGUUGUUAGAGAAGAACAAGGAUGAGAGUGGAAAGUUCAUCCCUUGACGGUAUCUAACCAGAAAGCCACGGCUAACUACGUG